AUUGAACGCUGGCGGCAGGCCUAACACAUGCAAGUCGAGCGGAUGAAGGGAGCUUGCUCCUGGAUUCAGCGGCGGACGGGUGAGUAAUGCCUAGGAAUCUGCCUGGUAGUGGGGGAUAACGUCCGCAAACGGGCGCUAAUACCGCAUACGUCCUGAGGGAGAAAGUGGGGGAUCUUCGGACCUCACGCUAUCAGAUGAGCCUAGGUCGGAUUAGCUAGUUGGUGGGGUAAAGGCCUACCAAGGCGACGAUCCGUAACUGGUCUGAGAGGAUGAUCAGUCACACUGGAACUGGGACACGGUCCAGACUCCUACGGGAGGCAGCAGUGGGGAAUAUUGGACAAUGGGCGAAAGCCUGAUCCAGCCAUGCCGCGUGUGUGAAGAAGGUCUUCGGAUUGUAAAGCACUUUAAGUUGGGAGGAAGGGCAGUAAGUUAAUACCUUGCUGUUUUGACGUUACCAACAGAAUAAGCACCGGCUAACUUCGUG
rnacentral:rRNA from 1 species